rnacentral:lncRNA from 1 species
AGGAAAAAUAAAUUUUUAUAGAGACAGAGGCACCGGUACCAGAAGUACCAAUAACCCAAAAGGAGUACAACAUGAGAAAAACCAAAUAGAGAACCCAAGCCAGGAGAACAAACAUCUCCAAACAAGACCCCAAGAACAGAUUACUCUAAAAUCUUAACAUCCGAAAACCAAGUUCUAAAAUCAGGAAUGUGAGUCUGCAAAUUAUACGCCAUCUUCCAUCCCCAUACUCUCGACUUGAUUUCCG